rnacentral:rRNA from 1 species
GGCGUGCCUAUUACUGCACGUCGAGCGGACAGAUGGGAGCUUGCUCCCUGAUGUUAGCGGCGGACGGGUGAGUAACACGUGGGUAACCUGCCUGUAAGACUGGGAUAACUCCGGGAAACCGGGGCUAAUACCGGAUGGUUGUUUGAACCGCAUGGUUCAAACAUAAAAGGUGGCUUCGGCUACCACUUACAGAUGGACCCGCGGCGCAUUAGCUAGUUGGUGAGGUAACGGCUCACCAAGGCAACGAUGCGUAGCCGACCUGAGAGGGUGAUCGGCCACACUGGGACUGAGACACGCCCCAGACUCCUACGGGAGGCAGCAGUAGGGAAUCUUCCGCAAUGGACGAAAGUCUGACGGAGCAACGCCGCGUGAGUGAUGAAGGUUUUCGGAUCGUAAAGCUCUGUUGUUAGGGAAGAACAAGUACCGUUCGAAUAGGGCGGUACCUUGACGGUACCUAACCAGAAAGCCACGGCUAACUACGUGCCAGCAGCCGCGGUAAUACGUAGGUGGCAAGCGUUGUCCGGAAUUAUUGGGCGUAAAGGGCUCGCAGGCGGUUUCUUAAGUCUGAUGUGAAAGCCCCCGGCUCAACCGGGGAGGGUCAUUGGAAACUGGGGAACUUGAGUGCAGAAGAGGAGAGUGGAAUUCCACGUGUAGCGGUGAAAUGCGUAGAGAUGUGGAGGAACACCAGUGGCGAAGGCGACUCUCUGGUCUGUAACUGACGCUGAGGAGCGAAAGCGUGG